rnacentral:lncRNA from 1 species
CCAGGAGAGAAGAGACAGCCGUUUUUCCCUCCCCACCCCUACAAGAUGUGGAAGCGAGAGCGAGAGCAGAGAGUUACCAACAUCCUGGAUCCCAGCUACCAAGAGAGUCCAGUCUCUUGAGAGAGAGAGACGCGCCAGCUGCUUGGUAUAGUGCAGGCAGCUAGCUCUUUCAGCUGGAGGAGGAGGCUGCAGGAGAGAGAACUCCCCAGCUGAUGUGAUGUGGGACAUGACGUCUCCCAUGGCUGCUCUUGCCCUGUUCAGCCGGUGACGACGGUCCCGAGGACAGACACACAGACAGACAGCCCGUCGUCUCAGGGCUUGUUCCGGACCCUUCAGGUCAUUCUGUUGCUAGGUGUGGAGUGAGAGAAGGCAGGAAAUGACUGUAUUUGAUGGCAAGGAAAUGUUUUCCCAUUUUCAAUGAUUUGAAGAGAGCCUACAGUUUAAUGUUCAACUUAACCCAUUAAAUGUAGAAGAUGAGGAAGGAGAAGUAAGCGUGGAGUGGUCAAAGGGAUGCUCAGCCUCAUUGUCCUGUCAUUCUUGAAAUUCUUCAUCUCACCACCCUUCCGGUGUUUUUUAUUUGUCUAAUUAUGGUGGUGGUGUAUGGAAGGCUCACCUUCAGGAUGGGCAGACCUGCUGCCAGAUAUUCAAUGAGGCAAAGAUCCAGGACAUCUUUAAGGGAUUCAUGAUGAAAAAAGCUGUAGAAGUAACUUAAGCUAAUUUUUCAGAUGAGGAACUGAAAUGAACUGGGUUAAAUGACUUGCCCGGGGUGACAUAGCUGGAAAGUACAUGAGGCCAGAUUUGAACUGAGGAAGAUGAAUCAUCUUGACUUCUGGUACUUUAUCUACUGCAUCACCCAAUGGCUAUAU